rnacentral:rRNA from 1 species
UGGGGAAUAUUGGACAAUGGGCGCAAGCCUGAUCCAGCCAUGCCGCGUGAGUGAAGAAGGCCUUCGGGUUGUAAAGCUCUUUUGUCCGGAAAGAAAAGCUCCCGGUUAAUACCCGGGGGUGAUGACGGUACCGGAAGAAUAAGCACCGGCUAACUACGUGCCAGCAGCCGCGGUAAUACGUAGGGUGCAAGCGUUAAUCGGAAUUACUGGGCGUAAAGCGUGCGCAGGCGGUUCGGAAAGAAAGAUGUGAAAUCCCAGGGCUCAACCUUGGAACUGCAUUUUUAACUCCCGAACUAGAGUAUGUCAGAGGGGGGUGGAAUUCCACGUGUAGCAGUGAAAUGCGUAGAUAUGUGGAGGAACACCGAUGGCGAAGGCAGCCCCCUGGGAUAAUACUGACGCUCAUGCACGAAAGCGUGGGGAGCAAAC